rnacentral:sRNA from 1 species
AAAUAGCCCCGAUGGAAAUGGAAAUCCUCCCGAUUUGUUUUUUCGGGAGAUUGUAAUGUACAGCGGGACAAGGC